rnacentral:rRNA from 1 species
ACGGAAGGCAGCAGUGGGGAAUAUUGCACGAUGGGGGGAAACCCUGAUGCAGCGACGCCGCGUGAAGGAAGAAGUAUCUCGGUAUGUAAACUUCUAUCAGCAGGGAAGAUAAUGACGGUACCUGACUAAGAAGCCCCGGCUAACUACGUGCCAGCAGCCGCGGUAAUACGUAGGGGGCAAGCGUUAUCCGGAUUUACUGGGUGUAAAGGGAGCGUAGACGGAUCGGCAAGUCUGAUGUGAAAGGCUGGGGCUCAACCCCGGGACUGCAUUGGAAACUGUCGGUCUUGAGUGCCGGAGGGGUAAGCGGAAUUCCUAGUGUAGCGGUGAAAUGCGUAGAUAUUAGGAGGAACACCAGUGGCGAAGGCGGCUUACUGGACGGUAACUGACGUUGAGGCGCGAAAGCGUGGGGAGCGAACAGGAUUAGAUACCCUGGUA